rnacentral:rRNA from 1 species
CCUACGGGAGGCAGCAGUGAGGAAUAUUGGUCAAUGGGCGGAAGCCUGAACCAGCCAAGUAGCGUGCAGGAUGACGGCCCUACGGGUUGUAAACUGCUUUUAUAUGGGUAUAACGCGCCUUACGUGUAGGGCUUUGCAUGUACCGUAUGAAUAAGGACCGGCUAAUUCCGUGCCAGCAGCCGCGGUAAUACGGAAGGUCCGGGCGUUAUCCGGAUUUAUUGGGUUUAAAGGGAGCGUAGGCGGGAUUUCAAGCGUGCUGUGAAAGGUCCGGGCUCAACCCGGGCCUUGCAGAGCGAACUGGCGUGCGUGAGUCCGGGAGAGGCAGGCGGAAUUCGUCGUGUAGCGGUGAAAUGCUUAGAUAUGACGAAGAACCCCGAUUGCGAAGGCAGCUUGCUGGAGCGGAACUGACGCUGAUGCUCGAAAGCGCGGGUAUCGAACAGGAUUAGAUACCCCAGUAGUC